rnacentral:lncRNA from 1 species
GGAAUUUAAGAGAAAACGUCAAACACGCCGUGACAUCCAAAACGCAUUCGGCUGUUUGCUUUUACUGUAGAGACUUUCAUCCACCAGUCUACUCCGGCUUCCACACCUAGUGUUUUUGUGUACUAGGCUAAAAAUAGCCCGCAGCGCCUAACAACUAGCUUCCGAUUGGCUGCGAGCAAAGGCUAGUCAGCCAAUGAGAGGUUCUGGGAACAAAGGCAAUUCUUUUGUGUGAGAGAUGCUCAACCCACGUCAAACAGCUUCGGGCUGGAAAAACGAUUUGAGUUGAGAUUUAGCAAGGUAAUAAUGCAUUUCAGCCCUCCGAAAGGUUUGAAGCGGAACAAAGGUGGGGAUGGGGCAAUGAAGUCUAUAAAACAAAUGGAGGCUCGGACAGAUUUGGGACGAAUCAUCCCGGAGCCGGAGCUGCAGGUUGGGAGGCACAGAAAUAAAAGACUCCGGUUUCGCUCUUUCUGAGACCCCCCACCCCCAAGUUAUUUUUUCGGGCGUUUUCUCCACCGAAACUAACAGCAGUCAAAGGCGUUGUGUUCUGACUUGUAGAAGUUCGUUAUGUUGAUUGACCGGUGAACAGGAAGCGACCCGUCCAGGAUUCCUUUAAAUCUCACAAACAGGAAACAAAAGACCUAUGUCCCGUGGAUGGUAGUAAAGCACCAGGAAAUUCGGAUUUUGAUUUCUGGACACCGAAAUCGGCUCACUUUCCCAAAGUAAAGUUAUGCUGCUCACUCGCUCAGGCCCCAGCUCUGACAGCUGCCCCUGUGCUAUCAGAUAUCAGAGAGGAGCUCAGCUUGACUGAACAUGACCUCUUCCCCACCCACCAGGACAGCUCUGAUGCUGAAGUCCAGAGUGUGCAGGCCUUACCUUCCUCACCUUCCUACAGGCCUAAAGUGUCCUUCACGGAAAACCCAAACUGCUCUCUCUUCAUAGCCGGUAACUAUUAAAUAAAGCUUUACAUAAAAGAUAUCUUUUUCAGAAUAUGAUCACUCUUUCUGUUUCUUCCUUGCUCCCCUACUGUUUUUCACUCACGUGCUCCACUCCAGGGAGUAACGGACAGACGAUGCAUCAGACUUAUCCCUUCUGACUGAGCAGUGCAAAGCAAGAGAAGAGAAAGGAAAGCC